UACGGAGGAUCCGAGCGUUAUCCGGAUUUAUUGGGUUUAAAGGGUGCGCAGGCGGGAGAUUAAGUCGGCGGUGAAAUUUUGCAGCUUAACUGUAAAAGUGCCAUCGAUACUGGUUUCCUUGAGUGUGGAUGAAGUAGGCGGAAUUUGUGGUGUAGCGGUGAAAUGCUUAGAUAUCACGAGGAACUCCGAUUGCGCAGGCAGCUUACUAAACCACUACUGACGCUCAUGCACGAAGGCGUGGGGAUCAAACAGGAUUAGAUACCCU
rnacentral:rRNA from 1 species